UGCAUGCAUGUUAUGGUGCGCUCUCAAAGAGUCGAGUUGUUUGGGAAUGCAGCUCAAAAUGGGUGGUAAAUGCCAUCUAAAGCUAAAUAUUGGCGAGAGACCGAUAGCGAACAAGUACCGUGAGGGAAAGAUGAAAAGAACUUUGGAAAGAGAGUUAAACAGUACGUGAAAUUGCUGAAAGGGAAACGCUUGAAGUCAGUCGCGUCGGCUAGAAAUCAACCUUGCUUUUGCUUGGUGUACUUUCUUGUUGAUGGGUCAGCAUCAAUUUUGACCGUUGGAUAAAGUCGUUGGGAAUGUGGCAUCUUGGGAUGUGUUAUAGCCCAUCGUCGCAUACAGCGGUUGGGAUUGAGGAACUCAGCACGCGCCUUUGGGCGUCGGGGCUUUGCCCACGAUACGUGCUUAGGAUGCUGGCGUAAUGGCUUUAAACGACCCGUCUUGAAACACGGACCAAGGAGUCUAACAUGCCUGCGAGUGUUCGGGUGGAAAACCCGUGCGCGCAAUGAAAGUGAAAGUUGGGACCUCUGUCGUGGAGGGCACCGACGCCCGGACCAGACCUUCUGUGACGGUUCUGCGGUAGAGCAUGUAUGUUAGGACCCGAAAGAUGGUGAACUAUGCCUGAAUAGGGUGAAGCCAGAGGAAACUCUGGUGGAGGCUCGUAGCGAUUCUGACGUGCAAAUCGAUCGUCAAAUUUGGGUAUAGGGGCGAAAGACUAAUCGAACCAUCUAGUAGCUGGGUUCCUGCC
rnacentral:rRNA from 1 species